CGCGGCCUAUCAGCUUGUUGGUGAGGUAACGGCCCACCAAGGCGACGACGGGUAGCCGGCCUGAGAGGGCGACCGGCCACACUGGGACUGAGACACGGCCCAGACUCCUACGGGAGGCAGCAGUGGGGAAUAUUGCGCAAUGGGCGAAAGCCUGACGCAGCGACGCCGCGUGAGGGAUGAAGGCCUUCGGGUUGUAAACCUCUUUCAGCAGGGAAGAAGCGAAAGUGACGGUACCUGCAGAAGAAGCACCGGCUAACUACGUGCCAGCAGCCGCGGUAAUACGUAGGGUGCAAGCGUUGUCCGGAAUUAUUGGGCGUAAAGAGCUCGUAGGCGGUCUGUCGCGUCUGCUGUGAAAACCUAGGGCUUAACCCUGGGCCUGCAGUGGGUACGGGCAGACUAGAGUGCGGUAGGGGAGACUGGAAUUCCUGGUGUAGCGGUGAAAUGCGCAGAUAUCAGGAGGAACACCGGUGGCGAAGGCGGGUCUCUGGGCCGUAACUGACGCUGAGGAGCGAAAGCAUGGGUAGCGAACAGGAUUAGAUACCCUGGUAGUCCAUGCCGUAAACGUUGGGCGCUAGGUGUGGGGCUCAUUCCACGAGUUCCGUGCCGCAGCAAACGCAUUAAGCGCCCCGCCUGGGGAGUACGG
rnacentral:rRNA from 1 species